AUUGAACGCUGGCGGCAGGCUUAACACAUGCAAGUCGAGCGAGCGGCGGACGGGUGAGUAAUGUCUGGGAAACUGCCUGAUGGAGGGGGAUAACUACUGGAAACGGUAGCUAAUACCGCAUAACCUCAGAUGUGGCCAGAUGGGCUUAGCUAGUAGGUGGGGUAAUGGCUAACCUAGGCGAAGAGCCAUAGCUGGUCUGAGAGGAUGACCAGCCACACUGGAACUUGGACACGGUCCAGACUCCUACGGGAGGCAGCAGGGGGGAAUAUUGCACAAUGGGCGCAAGCCGGAUGCAGCCAUGCCGCGUGUGUGAAGAAGGCCUUCGGGUUGUAAAGCACUUUCAGCGAGGAGGCGUUACUCGCAGAAGAAGCACCGGCUAACUCCGUGCCAGCAGCCGCGGUAAUAC
rnacentral:rRNA from 1 species